rnacentral:rRNA from 3 species
GGACUACAAGGGUUUCUAAUCCCGUUCGCUCCCCUGGCUUUCGCGUCUCAGCGUCAGAAAACGUCCAGGACCUCGCUUUCGCCACGGGCGUUCCUUCCGAUCUCAACGCAUUUCACCGCUCCACCGGAAGUUCCAGGUCCCCCUACGUCCCUCCAGGAAGGUCGUAUCCGCGCCCGUUCCCCGGUUGAGCCGGGGGCUUUCAACGUCGGACGUGCCCUCCCGCCUACACGCGCUUUAAGCCCAGUGAUUCCGAAUAACGUUCGCACGGUUCGUCUUACCGCGGCGGCUGGCAC